rnacentral:rRNA from 1 species
CGCGGUGAAUACGUUCCCGGGCCUUGUACACACCGCCCGUCACACCAUGGAAGCUGGGUGUACCUAAAGUCGGUAACCGCAAGGAGCCGCCUAGGGUAAAACUAGUAACUGGGGCU